ACGCGAGAGGACAAAACGACGUCGCGUUCUUCACUUCUAUCCAUACCCAUUUUCCAGUUUGUUGUUCAUCCCUCAAAACGACCAUACCCUAUCGUUUCGUGUUCGCUGCUCUUCCCCUCAAAUCGAUUUUGCUUCUGUUGUCCUCCUGCCCCAAAUCGAUUUCUGAGUUUAUUCACCUAAUGCCCAAAUUAAUUUCAUUUUCUAUUGUAUUCACACCCAAAUCGAUUUGCCUCCAAACCCUUUGAUUUCGUCGUUCACGCCCAAAAUUAUGAUAGAAACGAAAACCUAGCUUUGAGAGUCGUUUGCUUGCUUCGAUUUUGAGAAGUUGAGGAAGAAACUAAAUCUUGAGUUUGAUUUUGCCAGUAAGGCACGACUCAUCUGCGACGGUUGCCUCAAUUUAUUCUCACGGUAUCCGGAGUUGUUCAUGGCCCUGUCAGAGGAGACAUAUCUGGUUGUGCAAGGAUAAUUGGGACUAUGUUAAUGACGUUAUAGUCGGGGGAAUUAAUGAAGGGGGUCUAGUUGCAGCGGACAUUUUUAUGCUUCAGCUGAGUUUAGUCCACUUGUGUAUGUGAUAGUGUAACAGCAGCAUGACCAUUUAGUGCAAGGCUUGAGGACAGUUAAGAUGCGCUGAAAGUGCAAGUAUAGUUCUUUGCAUCUUGAAGUCAAGGUCGUAGAAGCCGGCAUACGUGUAGUUGGUAAAAUAAGGAUAAACCAACAUGAGUAUAAUUUUCAUACUUCUCCUUGUAUCUGAGUUGUAUUUUGUAACAAAUAUAUAAUAUGGUACACAUUACUUUAAUGUUUUAUUGUAUUUGAAUUAUAAGUGAUAUUCAUUAUAGCUAGAGUUCUAUUUUCUUUUCGA